CCUACGGGAGGCAGCAGUGAGGAAUAUUGGUCAAUGGCCGGAAGGCUGAACCAGCCAAGCCGCGUGAAGGACGAAGGUGCCAAGCAUUGUAAACUUCUUUUGUCAAGGGACAAAAUCAGGCUCGAGAGCCGGACCGAGGGUACUUGAAGAAAAAGCAUCGGCUAACUCCGUGCCAGCAGCCGCGGUAAUACGGAGGAUGCGAGCGUUAUCCGGAUUGAUUGGGUUUAAAGGGUGCGUAGGCGGACUGUUAAGUCAGCGGGAAAAGCCCGGGACUCAACCCCGGCGCGCCGUUGAAACUGGCUGUCUUGAGUUGUCGUGCGGUAUGCGGACUGCGCAGUGUAGCGGUGAAAUGCUUAGAUCUUGCGC
rnacentral:rRNA from 1 species